rnacentral:lncRNA from 1 species
AAAUUAUUCAUCAUCUUAAUAAUAGAUGCCAUGUAUUAAGUACUUAUUAAAGCAAGUGCUUUGCAUGCAUUUUCUCAUUUAGUCCUUUGAACGUCCUGUGAAGUACAUAUGGUUAUUGCCUCAUUGAAAAAGCUCAGUUGCUCAGAGUCAUACAUGUUGUAACCAGGUUUCAUCUGGCUUCAGGCUCAUGCUCCAUUUAAACAUUGCCACACUGCCUUCCAUCAAAAUGUUAAAAUCAAGGAUAAUUCAGUGGCAGGAAGAAGAAACACAUUCAAGACGACUUGGGUAGAGGGAACUUACUGGAAGGAGAUGAGGAAACUUUGUGGUAAGACCCAACGUGCAUGAGAAGAGUUGCUAGACAAGUUUAUUUAAUCACUUAGAAUACGUCAUGUUAACUCAAGGAAGAAGCAAAGUGCCUGAAAAGCCAGGAUAAACUAUGUUAUGUAUUUGACUGUUUUGUUAAGUGACUUUAUCAGUUAAUCUCCAUGUCCAUGGCAGUAAGCAAAUCCUGUAUACGGAAAGAAUGUAUCUAUGAGAACGGAUCUUUUGUAAAUUUUUCAUAUUCUCAAGCUUCUUCCAAGACUCUAUUAAGAUAUUCUCACCUGCACACUUGAGAUGGUUAAAAUAAGUAUAACAGUCCUUGUGAGAUAAUGGUGGACCUAUCUGAGCAACAAUGGAGCCUUGUCCCAACCAGCAGGUGAAGGGAUUUUGAACCUUGUCAUCAGGUGCUUCCAAAAACGUGAUUAACUUUUGUAAUCACCUCUGGAAUUUAAAGAGUUAAGUGAGAAACAUUUAUUCAAUACCUAUCAGAAGUGUUUACUUUUUUCUU